rnacentral:lncRNA from 1 species
CCAAGGGAGAAACAGCUGGAGAAACCAGGACUGCAUCGCCACAUCCCUGAGGAGGUUCCUAUUGCAUAAAAUAGUCCAGUGAGCAAGCAGCAAUUGCAAAUCUGGUGGCCUGAGGGAGAACUCUGUGAGUGAAAGGCAAGCACUGCUCUCCUGGAAGCAAAGCUGACGUGCUGCUGGUUCAUUUGUACAUCAGAGACCAUGGGGCUGAGCAAGCAUUGCAGACUGGCCUACAUUACAAAAUCAUGUUUCCUCUUCUGACAGAAAGUCCAAAGGUGUUUCAGCAGUCUUGAUGGACA